rnacentral:rRNA from 1 species
UACAGAGGGGGCAAGCGUUGUUCGGAAUUACUGGGCGUAAAGGGCGCGUAGGCGGCCUGCUAAGUCGAACGUGAAAUCCCCGGGCUCAACCCGGGAACUGCGUCCGAUACUGGCAGGCUUGAAUUCGGGAGAGGGAUGCGGAAUUCCAGGUGUAGCGGUGAAAUGCGUAGAUAUCUGGAGGAACACCGGUGGCGAAGGCGGCAUCCUGGACCGAUAUUGACGCUGAGGCGCGAAAGCCAGGGGAGCAAACGGG